rnacentral:rRNA from 1 species
CAGUAGCCGCGGGAAUACGAAGGGGGCUAACGUUGCUCGGAAUCACUGGGCGUAAAGGGUGCGUAGGCGGGUCUUUAAGUCAGGGGUGAAAUCCUGGAGCUCAACUCCAGAACUGCCUUUGAUACUGAAGAUCUUGAGUUCGGGAGAGGUGAGUGGAACUGCGAGUGUAGAGGUGAAAUUCGUAGAUAUUCGCAAGAACACCAGUGGCGAAGGCGGCUCACUGGCCCGAUACUGACGCUGAGGCACGAAAGCGUGGGGAGCAAACAGGAUUAGAUACCCCUGUAGUCCCUGUCUCUUAUAC